ensembl:snoRNA
CGCCUGGGGAUUCCUCAUGCAGCCCCUGGAUGAGCCCGCAAUAUUUUCCUUAUAUGAUUGGGCCUCUUUGUGGGCGGCGCCGCUUGCCCGGAGCCUGAGAGGAUUAUGAAAACGUGUGAGGCGAUAUGGGGCCUGGGGUCCCGGCG